CAGCCGCCGCGGUAAAACGGAGGGUGCAAGCGUUAAUCGGAAUUACUGGGCGUAAAGCGUGCGUAGGCGGUUCGUUAAGUCUGUUGUGAAAGCCCCGGGCUCAACCUGGGAAUGGCAAUGGAUACUGGCGAGCUAGAGUGUGUCAGAGGAUGGUGGAAUUCCCGGCGUAGCGGUGAAAUGCGUAGAGAUCGGGAGGAACAUCAGUGGCGAAGGCGGCCAUCUGGGACAACACUGACGCUGAGGCACGAAAGCGUGGGGAGCAAACAGGAUUAGAUACCCGCGUAGUCCCUGUCUCUUAUAC
rnacentral:rRNA from 1 species